rnacentral:rRNA from 1 species
AUUGAACGCUGGCGGCAUGCUUUACACAUGCAAGUCGAACGGUAACAGGCCUUCGGGUGCUGACGAGUGGCGCACGGGUGAGUAAUGCAUCGGAACGUACCCAGAGGUGGGGGAUAACGCAGCGAAAGCUGUGCUAAUACCGCAUGUGAUCUGAGGAUGAAAGCGGGGGACCGAGCAGCAAUGUUUGGCCUCGCGCCUUUGGAGCGGCCGAUGUCGGAUUAGCUAGUUGGUGGGGUAAAGGCCUACCAAGGCGACGAUCCGUAGCUGGUCUGAGAGGACGACCAGCCACACUGGGACUGAGACACGCCCCAGACUCCUACGGGAGGCAGCAGUGGGGAAUUUUGGACAAUGGACGCAAGCCUGAUCCAGCAAUGCCGCGUGCGGGAAGAAGGCCUUCGGGUUGUAAACCGCUUUUGGCAGGAACGAAACGGUGUCCGCUAAUACCGGGCGCUAAUGACGGUACCUGCAGAAUAAGCACCGGCUAACUACGUG